CAAGUCGAACGCCCCGCAAGGGGAGUGGCAGACGGGUGAGUAACGCGUGGGAACGUGCCCUUCGCUUCGGAAUAGCCCCGGGAAACUGGGAGUAAUACCGGAUACGCCGUAUUGGGAAAGAUUUAUCGGCGAAGGAUCGGCCCGCGUUGGAUUAGCUAGUUGGAGGUGUAAUGGACCCCCAAGGCUACGAUCCAUAGCUGGUCUGAGAGGAUGACCAGCCACACUGGGACUGAGACACGGCCCAG
rnacentral:rRNA from 1 species